rnacentral:rRNA from 1 species
GCCUAAGCCCAUACCACCAUUGGUACUUAAUCUCAUUUGAUCUAAGAAGCUAAGCAGAAUUGAGCCCGGAUAGUAGUUGCAUGGGAGACUGUCUGGAAAGAUCGAUGCUAUAGACU